CGGCAGGAUCGCGAGACGGUGAUUGGACUCCUGGAAACUGGGAGGUGGGGGCUGGAAGGAGGCUUGGAAAAAGCUGACCCUAGUCCCUAGCGCAGCUAUGGCAACCCCAGCGCUCGAGGCUUGAAGAGGGAACCGUGCUAAAAGAGUCCUUCUUAUGGGAGAACACUCCGUUUUUUCACGAUGGCAUUUGCCCCCCCGAAAAGCAUAGAGGGCCCCAAAAUGCAGACGAAGAUGAGCAGCUGGACACCACUAAACCACCAGCUUUUGAAUGACCGGGUAUUUGAAGAAAGAAGAGCUCUGCUUGGAAAAUGGUUUGACAAAUGGACAGACUCCCAAAGGAGGAGAAUCCUCACCAGCCUGUUGGAGCGUUGCUCACUGUCCCAGCAGAAAUUCUGCUGUCGAAAGCUUCAGGAGAAAAUCCCAGCAGAAGCCCUGGAUUUUACUACCAAGCUCCCCAGGGUGUUAUCUGUGUACAUCUUUUCCUUCCUGGAUCCCCGAAGCCUUUGUCGCUGUGCACAGGUGAGCUGGCACUGGAAGAACUUAGCAGAACUGGACCAGCUGUGGAUGCUGAAAUGCUUACGGUUCAACUGGUGCAUCAGUGUCUCCCCGAGUCCCUUCGAGCAGGGGAUAUGGAAGGAGCACUACAUCCAGAUGGUGAAGAAGCUUCAUGUCACCAAGCCCAAGACACCUCCAAAAGAUGGCUUUGUCAUCGCCAGUGUUCAGCCACUUGCCAGCAGCUCUCCACGGGAUAAGCAGUCCCCUCUUUGGUCCUCCUCCACAAGAAAAAAGAGUAACCCAGGGGAGAAGGAGCUUCCGCCUUGGCGGUCCUCUGACAAGCACCCGACGGAUAUCAUUCGUUUUAAUUAUUUGGACAACUGUGACCCCUUCCAGCCCAGCUCCCAAGGAAGAAGAAAAAGAAAUGAGUUGACCCCAGAUUUCAGCCGACAAUCACACGAUAAGAAAAGUAAGCAGCAGGACAGAGCCAGACUAAGAAAAGCACAGUCCCUGCUGGCCUCGAGGAGCAAGUCCUUUCUCACUGUGUCCCUCAGUCCCGGUUCACCUCUAAAAGCUCCAGUUCAUCUUGCUUGGACUCCUCAUCUGUCUGUGGGACCCCCCAGCACCUGGAGCAGCGACUGAAAUCUUCACGCAGCACCUUCAGAGAGACUCCGGCUUCAGUUGCUCCCCACCCAAAGCCAAAGCUGAUUUGAACACGGAAGAGAACUUUACAGGAACGAGACGCUCUGCACAGUGAAGAGUUGGCUUCCAGCUGGCUGUUCCUUUAGAAACCUUUUAGGGUUAAGUACUUUGUUGUGAAUAUGAGUCCUACAGUAUUUCGGGUCCCAGUGCAUCACCUCGUGGAGACACAGUGACCUCUUAAGACCCCUCUCAAACACAGUGCCCCCAAAAUAUGGGAGUGAGGACUUCAGCCUAGCAGCAUGCAGGGGACACGAUCCAGACCCUAACGUGCAGCUUCCUGAGAGUCCAGAAGGGACAGCAAGGCAUCUGGGCACAGGCCACAGCAGAAGCAGCAAAGGGAAGAGAAUGGAGGUCCCAGAACCAGUAGGAGCCGUAGUCACCAGAGCGGGGCCACGAGGUCUGUGCCAGGGGGUGGAGGAACGAAGCCACGGUCACCCCGAGAGCUGGCGGGGGGCGGGCAGGACCUGACCUGCGCGCCCACACUUCCUUACCCCUUCCCAUCCCAACGGCUUCAGAGUUAGCAGAAUCAGGAAGAGUAGUCAUACGGUCCUAACCUACCUCCCCUUGUAGCCAUGGCCGUGUCCUAGAAGUUACCACUCUAGGGUACUCAUUCACCGAGGCAGAGCAGAAUAAUGGAGAAGAAUGCUUCCCUAUCGUGUCAGGCCGAACCCUCUGUCCCUGUACUUGGGUACUGUAUGCAUACGUUGACUGGUUUAACACAGUAGCCGGGGGAGGUGUAGCACAGGACAUCGUGGUUUGGAUGUGUAAAUGAUGGGCAGGGGCAAAACAUGACCGAGUUACAACUGAUUUGUUGGCACCCCUCAGCGUGACACUAACGUGUCACCCUGCACUGGACCUGUGUCCUUCCCGAGGCAAAGCACAUGGCUAAUGGGAAGGGGGUCAGCUCCUGGAGACCCAGCUGCACGUCCGCCCCCGGAGCCGUGGACAGAUGCAGAACCUGGGCUGGCCUCCAGCUCCGCUUUGUCCCUCUAUGGCCCAGGCUACCCUGAGAUGACGUCAGGAGCCAGUCACAUUAUGGGCUGAUGUUUGGGCCAGACUGGAGUCUGCCCCUGGUUCCUUGUGGAAUAAACUAAGAACUUCUGAGCCAGGAACUUUUCAACAGAAAGAAGGCCUCAUCCAGUACUAACAGAGGCAUCUUGUGUUCCAGCUACAUUUGACUGUUCCUGUGGAAUGAGUCAGCCCCGCCUUACUUGCUGCGGCAAGACGUCAGUUAUUUUUCCUGUGAAUCUGUGUUUUGGGCAAGGCUCUGCUGGAAGUUCACCUCUGACCCACACUGCAUUCUCUGGUCCUCUCCUCAGAGGGCGGAAUGACACACUUCCAAGAUGGCGGAGGGACUUGGCCAGAAGCUGCCGCCAUCUACUGGGCGCUGAGGUGGAGAUGCAGGUGGAGUUUGUGCUCCGGUCCCUGUAGCUCGGGGCUCUCAGAAUGGGAGCGAGCCAGGUGGAACCUGACUCCCCUUUGAGGUCCCAGUCUUGGGAGUCUCAUAGGGUCAUUCCCACCAUCCUCAGCUGGACGGGCUUGUCCAACUUCAAGCAGAAAGGACACAGACUCAGGAGGGCUGGGAGGUCUGGGAAGAGCAUGUGAGAUGGGAAAUAUUUGUGCAGAUGUUUUGCAAUAGACUUGGCUUCCAAAUGGCUCCCUGCGUGACCCUUACCUGUACAUAGGUCAUGACACAGCGCCAUGAAGUGGACAACAAUUGAAAAAGACAUUGCUGUUCAUUAAUUCAACAGAACUUUAAAAAUACAGUACCUACAGUGUGCCAGACUCUGUGCUAGACUCUGGAAUGCAGCUGUCCCUCAGAAUCUAAAGUGUUUUGUUCUAGGACAACUGUGGCUACCAAAAACCAAAUGAUGCUCCAGUCCAUUAUAUGCAAAUAGUGCAAUAUUUGCAUGUGGCUUACCCACAUCCUCCCAUUAUUUCUAUUUUUUUUCAGUGCUUGGGAUUAAACCCGAGUUCCCUUGCAUGGUAAGCACUGGGCUAUACUGUUGAGCUACAUCCUAACCCCUCCUAUGUACUUUGAAUCAUUUCUAGAUACUUUUUUUUUGUUUUUUACAGACAGGAUCUUGCUCUGUAAUGUAGGCUGACCUUG